UGAAUACGAGAUGCUACGGCGUUGAAGCAGUGUAUGUCAGACUUCCAAGAAAAGCUCGCAAUGUCAUAAAUAAAGAAUGCCUGUACCAUAACCGACACAGGUGGGUAGGUAGAGUAUACUAAGGGGCGCGAGAUAACUCUCUCUAAGGAACUCGGCAAAAUGACUCCGUAACUUCGGGAGAAGGAGUGCCUUAUUUAUAAGGUUGCAAUAACAAGAUCCAAGCAACUGUUUAUCAAAAACACAGGUCUCCGCUAAGUCGUAAGACGAUGUAUGGGGGCUGACGCCUGCCCAGUGCCAGAAGGUUAAAGAAGUUGGUUAGUGUAUGCGAAGCUGAUGACUGAAGCCCUGGUGAACGGCGGCCGUAACAAUAACGGUCCUAAGGUAGCGAAAUUCCUUGUCGGGUAAGUUCCGACCCGCACGAAAGGCGUAAUGAUUGGGAUACUGUCUCGGAGAGAGGCUCGGUGAAAUAGACUUGUCUGUGAAGAUGCGGACUACCUGCACCAGGACAGAAAGACCCUAUGAAGCUUUACUGUAACUUGAAAUUGGAAUUGGACUUUGCUUGCGCAGUAUAGGUGGGAAGCGUUGAAGAUAUUCUUGCGGGAGUAUUGGAGCUAUCAGUGAGAUACCACUCUUGUAAUGUUAGAUUUCUAACUUUGAACCAUAAUCUGGUCAAAGAACAGUCUCAGGUGGGCAGUUUGACUGGCGCGGUCGCCUCCCAAAUGGUAACGGAGGCGUACAAAGGUUUCCUCUGAACGGAUAGAAAUCGUAUCUAGAGUGUAAAGGCAUAAGGAAGCUUGACUGUGAGACCUACAAGUCGAGCAGGGACGAAAGUCGGUCUUAGUGAUCUGACGGUACUGAGUGGAAAGGCCGUCACUCAACGGAUAAAAGUUACUCUAAGGAUAACAGGCUGAUCUCCCCCAAGAGUUCACAUCGACGGGGAGGUUUGGCACCUCGAUGUCGGCUCAUCGCAUCCUGGGGCGGUAGUACGUCCCAAGGGUUGGGCUGUUCGCCCAUGAAAGCGGUACGCGAGCUGGGUUCAGAACGUCGUGAGACAGUUCGGUCCAUAUCCGGUGUAGGCGUUAGAAUAUUGAGAGGAGCCCUCUUUAGUACGAGAGGACCGAGAAGGACACACCGCUGGUGUACCAGUUAUCGUGCCAACGGUAAACGCUGGGUAGCUAUGUGUGGAGUGGAUAACCGCUGAAAGCAUCUAAGUGGGAAGCCCACCUCAAGAUGAG
rnacentral:rRNA from 1 species